rnacentral:rRNA from 1 species
AACGAACGCUGGCGGCAUGCCUAACACAUGCAAGUCGAACGGGAUCCUGGCUUCGGCCAGGUGAGAGUGGCGGACGGGUGAGUAACGCGUGGGAACCUGCCCAAUGGUCUGGGAUAACCGCGGGAAACUGCGGCUAAUACCGGAUAAGCCCGAGAGGGGAAAGAUUUAUCGCCGAUGGAGGGGCCCGCGUCCGAUUAGGUAGUUGGUGAGGUAACGGCUCACCAAGCCGACGAUCGGUAGCUGGUCUGAGAGGAUGAUCAGCCACACUGGGACUGAGAUACGGCCCAGACUCCUACGGGAGGCAGCAGUGGGGAAUAUUGGACAAUGGGGCAAGCCCUGCAUCCAGCAAUGCCGCGUGAGUGAUGAAGGCCUUAGGGUUGUAAAUGCUCG